UACGUAGGGUGCAAGCGUUGUCCGGAAUUAUUGGGCGUAAAGAGCUCGUAGGCGGUUAGUCGCGUCUGCUGUGAAAACUCGGGGCUUAACCCUGGGCCUGCAGUGGGUACGGGCUGACUAGAGUGCGGUAGGGGAUACUGGAAUUCCUGGUGUAGCGGUGAAAUGCGCAGAUAUCAGGAGGAACACCGGUGGCGAAGGCGGGUCUCUGGGCCGUAACUGACGCUGAGGAGCGAAAGCGUGGGGAGCAAACAGG
rnacentral:rRNA from 1 species